UGUUCAGUGGUGGUUCUCGGGCCGAUGCUGGGCCAGUGAUCAGCAGUCACGCAGAGAUACCAGCGGGAGUGGAGUCCGGCUGGCCACGAGCCUCACCUAGUGUAGGCCCCCUAGACCCAUGGGCCCCGUUGCCAUAGCAACGGUAGCACCGGCCACGUGGGGGCCCUGCUGUGGAGUGGGGGCAGGUCGUGAGCCCGGGGAACUCCCGCACGGGCGAUGGUCACGUGACGCGGUGAUCUAGGGCCGUGGGGAGACGGGAGACAGUCUCCUGCAAGCACGCCGCACUGCUCAAUCAGCGUCUGGGACACGUGGGGUCGUGACUGGAAGCAAGACUGAGAUCGGCUGGGAAACCAGUGUUGAUUGCGACAAUCACGAUGAUCUGCUGGCUCUCACAGUAUGUAAAUGUAAAAAAGAAAUGGGUUCAUGAAGUCAAUCUAAAAAGGAAA